UUAAUAAAUUAGCAAACAUUUUGACAAAGCUGUUUUCCCUUUUCCAUUAUGGGGUAUUGUGUGUUGAUGGGUGAGAAAACAAAUUGAUUGAAUCCAUUUUGAAUUCAGACUGUAAAACAACAAAAUGUGGAAUAAGUCAAGGGCUGUGAAUACUUUCUGAAGGCACUGUAUAUGCAGACAUGGCUGAACCAGAUGACACUCAAAAGAGGUUGUGAUUGCAAACUCCCUGAAUUAGCUCAGAGAUCACACUUGUGAUGUCAUGUUGGCUCUGGCCAGCCCUCAGAGGAAGUCAGUCUUAAAGUGUAUGUCAAGACGCCUCUCGAAAAAAACAACAGAAAAUCCUGAACAGUGGAAACACACAAGAGAGGAGAUCUGUUGAGGACAUUCAAAGUCACCUACAGGAUUCUAAACUGCUCUUCAACCCCAAAUGCAGUCAUUGACCCCAAACGCUCAACUGCAAAACACUCGAGAUCUGGACAAGCUCACCAGAGGCCCAGGAAUCGAUGGGCCCUGUCAAACUCCCACUUCAGCCUCGUUCAUCAGGGCCCAGCGCUAAAUUUAGCCUGACUCACUGCCUGUCUGCCUGGGGACUUGGAUGUCAGAGUGCCUGCAUGGACUUGGAAAAGUAUGCCAGGAC
rnacentral:lncRNA from 1 species